UCUGCUUGUCGGAGAAAUUCUUUUCUUCUCUUCUAAAUGAUAAUCUUGCUGGAUAGAGUAUCCUAGGUUGCAGGAUUUUCCCUUUUAGGGCUUUGAAUGUAUUAUGCCACUUCCUUCUGCCCUGCAAAGUUUCUCCAGAGAAAUGAGCUGAUAGCCUUGUGGGGAUUCCCUUGUAUAUGACUCUCUGUUUUUCUCCUGCUGCCUUUAGAAUUCUCUUUGUAUCUUUAAUUUUGCCAUUUUAAUUAUGAUAUGUCUUGGUGUGGGCCAGUUUGGGCUCAUCUUGUUUGGCACUCUGCUUCCUGAAAUUGGAUAUGUUUCCCUCUUUAGGUUUGGGACGUUUCCAGCCAUAAUUUCUUCAAGUACAUUUUUGAUCCCUUUCUCUCUUCUUUUUCUGGAACCCCUAUAAUGUGAAUAUUGGCACAUUUUAUAUUCCAUAGAUCUUGUAUGUUGUUUUCUCCCUCCCUCCCUCCCCCCCCUUUCUUCUUUUUUCUGUUCUUAUUGGGUGAUUUCUGUUAUUCUAUCCUCCAGAUCACUUACGCAUUCCUUUGUGUCAUUUAGUCUGCUAUUCAUUGCUUCUAGAGUGCUUUUUAUCUCAGAGAUUGAAUUAUCAAUUUUUGAUUGGGUCUUUUAAAUUUCUAGUUCCUUGGUAGAAUGAUCUGUGCUUACCUCUACUGUCUUAAUUCAGUUAGCAUUUUUAUUACCAACUUUUGGAAUUCAUUGUCUAUUGAUUAUCUCUUUUUCAUUAUUUAUUUCUUCAGGGGUUUUCUCUUGCUCUUUGAGUUGAGAGUAGUUCCUCUGCGUUUUCAUUUUACUUAACUUUCUCUGUCUGUGAAUUUAGGUGCAACAGUUAUCUGUUAUGGUCUUGAAGGGGUGUUUUUAUGUGGGAACAUCCCUGUGUAGACUGUGUGCGCCUACCAUCUUUGGUGUGUGGGUUGAAUUUGAUGUGGAUGCCAGCCCACUACUUUUCUCAGGAUGUGAUGACAACUACCACCUUGAUAGGGGGGUACGGCUGGCGUUGGAGGAGCCAAAGACUGUGCAGGGUGUGAGGCGAGACUUCCUGUCUCCUCACUGGCCACAGCCGCCCUGUUGGGUGGGGUCUGCUCCCAAGCUGCUGGAGUGGAAGCCCUGAGGGUCGGGCUGGAGCUGGCUCUGUUCCCUUCAAGUGUGUGUUUUUCCUUUUCCCCACACUGGAACCUUUGCCCCGAAGGAGGGGAGUGCUGAAAUAAGCAGGGUUUGUGUGCUUAGAGAUGUCCAAUGUGCUGCUUGUGUAGGUAUCUGCAGUCACGCUCAGAACCAGAUCAGGGUUGUCUUUUCCCCUAUUGCGGUGGUCUCAGCUCUAAUGUAAGGUUGUGGCACGGAGUGGGUGGGGCUGGAGCGUUUGCUUGGGGAUCAUGGCAUUGUGGUUGCAGGAAUCGAAGUGGCUGCACUGUCAUGAGAAGUCUGGGCUACUUCUGUGGCGCUGAGUAAGCACCAGCAAUGGCCGUCACUCAGCCUGUACCGUACCCCAGGCCCGUGGGUCACCUCUGUGUCCCUAGAUCGAGUCUUUUCCCAGGAUGUGGCUGCCCUAGAUUCAGCGCCAAGCUGUGGUGUGGAGUGAGUGGGGCCGGGGGUUCACUCAGCUUGGGUCAGAGAGUGUGGCAAGGUGACAGCUGCUAGGGCAGACCUCUCUCCGCCCUGUUUGGUGGCAAGCCAGCACUGCGUACUCCUCGCCAGUGCAGUCUAGGCUUCUCCAGCCUUUCUAUGUGCCACAGCUGUUCUCCAGGCAGCCAAAGGGCCUUGCCUCCUCUGUAUAAGACCGCAGGACUAGAAUGCCCAGUCUGUCUCUCAACCUGCUCACUCCCCAGGGUGAAUGUCCACCUGUAUGAUCUCCCUGUACCUCUUAGUUCCCUCCUGGGGGCACAGGUCUCGACCCGGUGCUUUUCUUCCCAUCCUACCUGGGAUGGGAUUAUGGGGGAAUCUUCCUUGCAGCCUUGGUUGUAGAGGAGUCCUUCUGCCAGUUUCCACGUAGUUUUUGGUGAGAAUUGUUCUACACGUAGAUGUAUUUUUUGAUUUGCGGGGGGGAGGUGAGCUCUACAUCCUCUUACUCUGCCAUCUUGAUCACCCUCCCACUCUCUUUCUCUCUCCUUUCCUCCUCUCAUUCUCUCCCUUUCCCUACUCAGGGAACUCUGUGGUACUUGGGGUCAUUUCUCAUCUGUACCCCAGAAGUCUUUGGAGCUAACAGGAGUUUUGUGCAUACUCACUUGGGCUUGGACCCGUCAUCUUCAUAACCACAUGCUCCAGACUCAUGGACUUGGCUCCUUUCAAACAAUGUCCAUAUUGGCAGCUUCAUCCAUUCAUUCAACAAAUACUUACUCGAGACCUGCCCUACGCUCAGUCCUGGUCUGGGGUUACUGUGGUAAACAAGACAGGUGCGGCCCUUACUCUCAUGAAGGUUAGUGAGGGGAGAAAGGAAUGAGCAAAUACACCAGGUGAUUUUGAUGGUAAGUGCCGUGAAGAAAAGAAAGCAGGCUGAUGCGGGAGAAAGUGACUGAGGUUGUCAAGACAGGCCUCACAAAGAGGUGAGGCUCGAGACCUAGAUGAUCAGACUGCACCAGAUCACCAGGCAGGUUUCUCUGUUGAAAAUAACAGGAUCCGACUCUAGUUAACGUAAGCAGAAAAGGAAUGCACUGGAAGGGUACUGGGUACUUCAGAGAAUGGGCGGAAGGCCUGGAAAAUUAGGCCAGCACAGAGGCGGUUGCUAAGGGAGGUUGGCCAGAACACUGACCAAAAUCAUGCUACAGCUGUUUCUCGUUAGGACCCAGCCACCUCUGCUCUGGAUACUGACCUGGAACCCUGGACCCACAGGCACACCACCACCAGAGGGACCUCCAAACUGGGCCUGAUUACCGCAGACCACAGGUUGUUCACAGUUUCAGGACUGUUUCUGCAGCCGUCACAUGAUAGCAAAACGGUGGUAAGCAGUGCACGAGUCUGCCUCGAAGACAGCCAGAGUCCAUGCAUCGGGACGUUCUCUCGGUUGGAGAACGAACAAAGGGAGGACAUGCUCGGGCCAGGAGAUGCAGUUCCUCGCUCUCGCCACUAGAGGGAAUUCGUGAAGCUCCUCUCUGAAUGAGAAACCUGCCCCCCACCCAAAAGGCAAAGCUAAGACGAUAACCCAGAGUUCACCCAGACACAAGGUUCCUCAGAAAUAGACUCAGCCUCUCUGAAUCUCCUUCCUCAUCUGUCAGAUGGCAGUUAAACCCAUCUCACGGGGCUGUGAAGAUUCAUCAAGACGACAGUGGUUGUAAAACCCUUACCACACACAAAGCCUCCUUAGGGAAAACCAGGACUGCCUGACGAGCAAAGUUUGCCAGCUGACCUGAUGCUUAAGCUUGGAGCGAGAGGCAGGAUCCAUCCUCCAGCUUCCUCAGGAGGAGAAAGAUCAAAGAAACUCCACUCACCCUUCAAGGCCUUGCUAAAGCAUCACUUCCUCCAGGAACCCCUCCCUGCUCUCCCAGCCGAGUCAGCAGAGUCCACAGAACGUGCAGGUGGGUCAGGCUGGCCUUGGCAUUCCUCACAACCCCAUUGUAAUGGUUUGUUUCCAGCUCCCUGACUAGAUGGGGGACCUCCCUGAGGGCAAGCCCAGGGUCUCAUUCAUCCCCAGGGGCCUGUGGGAUCAUUGAGUGAAGCGCUUGGCCUGUGCCCACGUUCACUGGGAGCUCCAGGAUCUUUACCAGACUCCUGGCUCUCAGGUCAACUUUUCCCCCCAACCCAGUCAUGCCAGAGAUGAGCAGAUGUAGUCAGAACCUCCUUUUGGGAAUGAACUUUCUUCAGCGUCCUGUCUUGCCCCUGCCCAAAGUCUCUUUCUCUUACUGUCCCUCGCCCUGAUGGUACCCCCCGCUCUCUCAGCCUGGAGGCCCCUGCGACUCACUGCUGACCUCUAGUAGGGUCCUUGUCUUCUGGACAGCCCCAUCUGCUUCCUCCGGGUGGGUGCUGAGGCCAGGGUCCUCUUCUUCCACCUCUGGCCCUCUCAGGCCCCAGGGGGGGCGAAAGCAGGCCCAGCUCUCUGCCCCCGCUGUCCCUCGGAGGGGCUGGGCCUUCAUGGCCUCUAAGCGGGGGCUGCAGUGGCUCUGUGUCCAAGCAGGCGUCCUGGAUCUCCCCAAACAUGGGGGCGAGGCCCUUAGUGGCAGCUGAGGAAGCCCAGGGCCAGGCCUGUGCUGGGCCGGGCAGGGGUGGGUGCAGCGGGCAGGUGGGGUGGGUCAGUCGCUGAGCACGGCCCCCGGGAGCUCGUUGGUGAGCGUGUGCCAGCGCUCGAUCCGCUUGUCCUUGUUCUUCAGGCAAUCAAACCAGUGCUUCAGGCGCUCGCCCUUGGCAUUGAUGCCCAGAACCACGCCACCUGCAGAGGGGAGCCGAGAGGCAGCCAGGACACGGUGACCUCUGACUCUCAGGGUCUCUCUGGAGCCAGUACCCCCUGGCACCCCUCCCAGACUUUGUGCUCCACGGCCAGACUCUCUUCCCUGCCCACCUGCUCUGAGAGUGGACCGUGGUCUGACUGCCACACUCUGGGAGCCCCCACUCCCCCAGUCAGGGCCCAGGGAUCCUGCUCUUCCUUUACCCAGGACCAGAGCAGUACCUGCGGGGCAGCACAGGGGCUUGUGUUGGUGCCAGGGCAGCUCCACUGCACAGCCACCAAGCCCACCCCAAAUGUGGGGCCACGAGGGCUCAGAGUCCAGCCUGAGGGGCUGACCAUCAUCACCUUUUACCCCUGCUCCACCACAGACUGCUGUGUGACUCGGCCAGGCCUCUUGCCCUCUCUUUCUCUGUCACAUGGGGUCAGGCUGGAUCAUGUCUAUGGCCCCAACUUUCCCCACAGGCCAGGAAGGCGGGACUGUGGCCUGAUUCAGGGCCCCUGCCCUUUGCUGAACCCAGGAUGGGCAUGUUGCUAAAGAGCAUUCCCAUCGUGUCCUCUCACCGAUGAAAUCGUUGGAUUUUCCAAUGUCAUAAUCCCAAACGGUGAUCUCCAGGGUCUUCUUGGCCAGGUCCCCGUGCUUAAUCUCAUAACAGAAUUCCUGGUGGCCAGAAGGGGAGUGUCAGGACCAGUGACCCACGGCCUGUAAGUCGGCUGGUGGCCGGGAGGGUGGGCAGUGCACAGCAGUGGGUGAUAAUGGAUUCUCACCCAUCUCACCCACUUCCAUCUGAGAGCCCAGCUGAGAUCCUCGGGUCCCCUUCCCUCUGACCCACCUGCCCCUUUGUCACUGAAGCUGCUUUUCUCAGGAUCCUCAAGAGUCUCCUUACUGCAAGUCAGCGCACACUUGGCGGCCUUGGCAUGCUUGAUCUCUCUUGGGUCUGAUUCUGCUGACCAUUCCCUUCUUUGUGGAACCCUCUCCCACCAGCUUCCAGGAUCCUUCAACAUCUGGUGUCCCCCUCGCUCCCUGGCAGCACCUCCUCGGCCUUCUCUGUCUGCACCCGAGUCACUCAGGCUGUCAGAGGCUCCCCUCCCUCAUCUCGUUCCUUGGAGCUCCUCUCCGGCUGCACCCACCCCCUGGGCUGAGGACCUGGGUAUCUAUCUGCCUCCACCUUCCUGGGGCCGCUCACAUCCUCACACCACCCCCUCCACAUCUAACAUGGCUACAAUCCCAUCAAUUCAAUUCUCCGAAGAGUUUCCAGGCCGCUUCCUCACUUCUGUCUGCACCAUCUUGGCCUGGUUCAGCCUGGCCUCACUUCUCCCACCAGUCCUCCUACCCCACGGCUGGGGGCUUUCCUGUCAGUCCCUCUCCAACCUCCAGCUCCCACAGUGACCCUUGAAAAACCCAGUCCCUCCGGGGUCCCCUGUCCUGAGGGAGAGUGAGUGGCUCAUGGCUUCCCCAGCCUCUCAUACCUCGUUGAACUCUGGGUUUAGGGUUUUCUUCUUUACCGCUGUCUUAUGUUUGGAUUUCUUGUCCACAUCUGGCUUCAGGUAUCUGGAAUUAUAACCAAUCAACAGGCAGAGAGUGAGAAGAUACUGAGCACACAUGGAGCCAGCAGGGCUUGGAAGAGAGAGAUUCCCAGGCCUCCUGUUCAUCCUAACCCUCGGAUGUCCCCAGCACUACUCUGUGACAAAGGUGAGCAGUCAGUGCAGUGGGAGAAGCAAGUGGGUCCUUCAUCACCUGGACCUCUGUUCACAGCCCAUUCCUGAUGUCACAGAGCCCCUCCAUCCCCUAGGAAAGAGGAUUUUCUUUAUUUCUGGAAGUCUAAUUUUCACAGCUCUCAUUUCCCACCAGAAAAACAUUUUUAGCAAAGUUGGUCCCUUGCUAGAGCUCUUCUUUUUGUAAUAGCAGAUUAUGGAGAUAGAAUUCACACGCUAUAAAAUUCAUCUUUCUCAAGUGUAUAACGCAGCGGUUUUUAGCAUAGUAGCUGAGUUGUACAACCAUUGCUACUACCUCACUGGAGCUUUGAGGAAGGAAAAAAGGUCUUUUGGGCAGUGACAGCAGUGCUUCCUGAAGGGAAAGAGGGAAGCCCUGCUUGCGGGCCAGCUCCCUCCACGGGCAUCAGCUCCUUAGACUUUGAUGCAGAACAGCAGUCUUCAUCUGGGGCUCAGAAAGGUGGAGGGACUCACCCAGGGUCACACAGUUGCUCCGCACAGGGAUGGUGCCCAGAAGCCAGGCCGUGUCCUUUUGCAAAGCUUCUUUUACCCUGUCCCUGCAUGGACACUAGUGACAAUUGCCCUGCUCCUGCUGACAGGACCACAUCUGUCUCACCCACCACCAGCUUCCUGGUAUCCAACUUGAUGCCUGGCACUGGGUGGGGUCAGUGAACAUAGAAAGUGGUACCUUAUUAUUGCUUUUCUGUGCACUUUAUAAAAAAGUUGUGAUUGUUAUUACAUAAGAAAUACUGGUUCGUUAUAGAAACACUAGAAAAUAUGUAUUAACAGAAGUUGGGGGUGGGGAAAGAAAUGAAUACACAGGUCUGCACAAAAGCCUGUUCCUUAGCAGCUUUGUACAGCCAUCAGAAAUUGGGAACAGCCCCCAUGCACUUCAACAGGAAGUGACCUGACGGACGACUACUUGGCAAUGCAGACCUACAGACCGAACUCUGGGCUCAGGCACCACGUGGCUGGCUCCCCAGAGCAUUAAGUUAUGUAGGAGUUGCCUUUAUAAGUCAGUCUGGAAAAGGCAAAACUGUUGUGACAGAAAACAAGUCAAAUGGUUGACUGGGGCCCGGGGACCUUUCUGGGGUGAUGGUAUCUGAAUCUUAACCAUGGUGGUGGUGACAAGAUUGUAUACUUCAGUCAGUCACACUUCAAAAGGGGAGAAACCUACUAGAUGUAAAUUAUACCUCGAUAAAGAUGACUUUUUAAAUAG